rnacentral:rRNA from 1 species
UACAGAGGUCUCAAGCGUUGUUCGGAUUCAUUGGGCGUAAAGGGUGCGUAGGCGGCGCGGUAAGUCGGGUGUGAAAUCUUGGAGCUUAACUCCGAAACUGCAUUCGAUACUGCCGUGCUUGAGGACUGGAGAGGAGACUGGAAUUUACGGUGUAGCGGUGAAAUGCGUAGAUAUGUGGAGGAAUACCGAUGGCGAAGGCAGCCCCCUGGGAUAACACUGACGCUCAUGCACGAAAGCGUGGGGAGCAAACAGG